AUUGAACGCUGGCGGAAUGCUUUACACAUGCAAGUCGAACGGCAGCACGGACUUCGGUCCGGUGGCGAGUGGCGAACGGGUGAGUAAUACAUCGGAACGUGCCCAGUCGUGGGGGAUAACGUAGCGAAAGCUACGCUAAUACCGCAUACGAUCUAAGGAUGAAAGCGGGGGAUCGCAAGACCUCGCGCGAUUGGAGCGGCCGAUGGCAGAUUAGGUAGUUGGUAGGGUAAAGGCCUACCAAGCCGACGAUCUGUAGCUGGUCUGAGAGGAUGAUCAGCCACACUGGGACUGAGACACGGCCCAGACUCCUACGGGAGGCAGCAGUGGGGAAUUUUGGGCAAUGGGCGAAAGCCUGAUCCAGCCAUGCCGCGUGCAGGAUGAAGGCCUUCGGGUUGUAAACUGCUUUUGUACGGAACGAAAAGGUUUGGCCUAAUAAGCUGAGCUCAUGACGGUACCGUAAGAAUAAGCACCGGCUAACUACGUGCCAGCCGCCGCCGUAA
rnacentral:rRNA from 1 species